GCCUUCGUGGUGUAGUGGUCAGCACGCUCGGCGCGUAUUCGAGAGAUCAGUGGUUCGAGUCCCGGCGAGGCUA
rnacentral:tRNA from 1 species